GCAGUAUUGUUUUUGUAUAAUUUGUGUUGUCUUAUCGUAAACAGGUUGUGGAUAGUUAUGGGUAUGGAUUUGACAGUGGUUAUCUAGUAAGCAACUAUGACUUGAUUGUGGUGAAUGUCGAUGCGAGAGGAACUUGCUGCAGAGGGGAAAGUUUUAAGCAUCAAGUUUAUAAACAGUUGGGAAAGUUUGAGGCAGUGGAUACAAUUAACGUUGCCAGGGAUAUUGCAGCCAGAGACUAUGUGGAUGAAACAAGGAUAGCCAUCUGGGGCUGGGUAAGGGUGUUAUUGCAGAUACAAUUUGCCCUUUUUUACAAUUUUCAACCAUUAUUUGCUAUGCACACAGCCAUAGAAUGUGUGAUGCGCUACGCUCUGAGUUCAAGCUUGAUCGAUGUCCUCGUCAAGUGCUCUCUUUACCAGGAGCAAACCUUCAAUGACCGCGCGAGUCGAAUCAAAUCUUCGUGAGUUUUAAAACCUUCUAAUCGCUGUGAAAAUUUACAAUCAGGGCCGUCCACACUACGCUGGAGGAAUUUAAAAACGCAACUUUAUUUCUGCGGUUACGCCUACCGUCUACACUCGUAAGACCGUCACGAAAAUGGAGCUUUUCGAAAACGCUCUUGAAACCUGAGGAUUUGAAAACGGCUCUUCGUUGUCGUGUGGACAGAAAACUUUUUGAAAACGAAGCUUUUCCAAAACGAUGACGUCACGAUGAUGAUGUGAUUUCCCU